GAUGAACGCUGGCGGCGUGCCUAAUACAUGCAAGUCGAGCGAACGGACGAGAAGCUUGCUUCUCUGAUGUUAGCGGCGGACGGGUGAGUAACACGUGGAUAACCUACCUAUAAGACUGGGAUAACUUCGGGAAACCGGAGCUAAUACCGGAUAAUAUUUUGAACCGCAUGGUUCAAAAGUGAAAGACGGUCUUGCUGUCACUUAUAGAUGGAUCCGCGCUGCAUUAGCUAGUUGGUAAGGUAACGGCUUACCAAGGCAACGAUGCAUAGCCGACCUGAGAGGGUGAUCGCCCACACGGGAACUUAGACACGGUCCAUACUCCUACGGGAGGCAGCAGUAGGGAAUCUUCCGCAAUGGUCGAAAGCCUGACGGAGCAACGCCGCGUGAGUGAUGAAGGUCCUCGGAUCGUAAAACUCUGUUAUUAGGGAAGAACAUAUGUGUAAGUAACUGUGCACAUCUUGACGGUACCUAAUCAGAAAGCCCCGGCUAACUACGUG
rnacentral:rRNA from 1 species